rnacentral:rRNA from 1 species
UUCAUAACCCUUUGUUGUCCGACUCUGUUGCCUCCGGGGCGACCCUGCCUUCGGGCGGGGGCUCCGGGUGGACACUUCAAACUCUUGCGUAACUUUGCAGUCUGAGUAAACUUAAUUAAUAAAUUAAAACUUUUAACAACGGAUCUCUUGGUUCUGGCAUCGAUGAAGAACGCAGCGAAAUGCGAUAAGUAAUGUGAAUUGCAGAAUUCAGUGAAUCAUCGAAUCUUUGAACGCACAUUGCGCCCCCUGGUAUUCCGGGGGGCAUGCCUGUUCGAGCGUCAUUUCACCACUCAAGCCUCGCUUGGUAUUGGGCAUCGCGGUCCGCCGCGUGCCUCAAAUCGACCGGCUGGGUCUUCUGUCCCCUAAGCGUUGUGGAAACUAUUCGCUAAAGGGUGUUCGGGAGGCUACGCCGUAAAACAACCCCAUUUCUAAGGUUGACCUCGGAUCAGGUAGGGAUACCCGCUGAACUUAAGCAUAUC